UACAGAGGUCUCAAGCGUUGUUCGGAUUCAUUGGGCGUAAAGGGUGCGUAGGUGGCGGGGUAAGUCAGGUGUGAAAUCUCGAGGCUCAACCUCGAAACUGCACUUGAUACUGCCUUGCUAGAGUACUGGAGAGGAGAUUGGAAUUUACGGUGUAGCAGUGAAAUGCGUAGAUAUCGUAAGGAAGACCAGUGGCGAAGGCGAAUCUCUGGACAGUUACUGACACUGAGGCACGGAAAGCUAGGGGAGCAAACAGG
rnacentral:rRNA from 1 species